rnacentral:rRNA from 1 species
GAUGAACGCUGGCGGCGUGCCUAAUACAUGCAAGUCGAGCGAACAGACGAGGAGCUUGCUCCUCUGACGUUAGCGGCGGACGGGUGAGUAACACGUGGAUAACCUACCUAUAAGACUGGGAUAACUUCGGGAAACCGGAGCUAAUACCGGAUAAUAUAUUGAACCGCAUGGUUCAAUAGUGAAAGACGGUUUUGCUGUCACUUAUAGAUGGAUCCGCGCCGCAUUAGCUAGUUGGUAAGGUAACGGCUUACCAAGGCGACGAUGCGUAGCCGACCUGGGAGGGUGAUCGGCCACACUGGAACUGAGACACGGUCCAGACUCCUACGGGAGGCAGAAGUAGGGAAUCUUCCGCAAUGGGCGAAAGCCUGACGGAGCAACGCCGCGGGAGUGAUGAAGGUCUUCGGAUCGUAAAACUCUGUUAUUAGGGAAGAACAAAUGUGUAAGUAACUAUGCACGUCUUGACGGUACCUAAUCAGAAAGCCACGGCUAACUACGUG